rnacentral:tRNA from 1 species
GCCUAGGUGGCUCAGUUGGUUAAGCAUCUGACUUCAGCUUAGGUGAUGAUCCCAUGGUUUGUGGAUUCAAGCCCCGCACUGGGCU